rnacentral:rRNA from 1 species
AACGAACGCUGGCGGCAUGCCUAACACAUGCAAGUCGAACGAGACCUUCGGGUCUGGUGGCGCACGGGUGCGUAACGCGUGGGAACCUGCCCUUAGGUUCGGCAUAACUCCCCGAAUGGGGUGCUAAUACCGGAUCAUGUCUUCCGACCAAAGAUUUAUCGCCUUUGGAUGGGCCCGCGUUGGAUUAGCUAGUUGGUAGGGUAAAAGCCUACCAAGGCGACGAUCCAUAGCUGGUCUGAGAGGAUGAUCAGCCACACUGGGACUGAGACACGGCCCAGACUCCUACGGGAGGCAGCAGUGGGGAAUAUUGGACAACGGGCGAAAGCCUGAACCAGCAAGGCCGCGUGAGUGAUGAAGGCCGGAGGGUUGUAAAGCUCUUUUACCCGGGAUGAUAAUGACAGUACCGGGAGAAUAAGCACCGGCUAACUCCGUG